rnacentral:rRNA from 1 species
AUUGAACGCUGGCGGCAUGCCUUACACAUGCAAGUCGAACGGUAACAGGUCUUCGGAUGCUGACGAGUGGCGAACGGGUGAGUAAUACAUCGGAACGUGCCCGAUCGUGGGGGAUAACGAAGCGAAAGCUUUGCUAAUACCGCAUAAGAUCUACGGAUGAAAGCAGGGGACCGCAAGGCCUUGCGCGAACGGGGCGGCCGAUGGCAGAUUAGGUAGUUGGUGGGAUAAAAGCUUACCAAGCCGACGAUCUGUAGCUGGUCUGAGAGGACGACCAGCCACACUGGGACUGAGACACGGCCCAGACUCCUACGGGAGGCAGCAGUGGGGAAUUUUGGACAAUGGGCGAAAGCCUGAUCCAGCCAUGCCGCGUGCAGGAUGAAGGCCUUCGGGUUGUAAACUGCUUUUGUACGGAACGAAAAGACUCUGGUUAAUACCUGGGGUCCAUGACGGUACCGUAAGAAUAAGCACCGGCUAACUACGUG